UAGUUGGCAAAGGAUUGGGCUUCGUCUUGGGUGGCGAUGAGAUUGACAAAAGAUUUAACCCGGGUGGCGAUGUCAUUGACAAAAGGUUCAGCCCGGGUGGCAACAUAGUUGGCAAAGGGUA